rnacentral:rRNA from 1 species
ACGAUGACCCGGUGCUUGCACCGGUGAUUAGUGGCGAACGGGUGAGUAACACGUGAGUAACCUGCCCUUGACUCUGGGAUAAGCCUGGGAAACUGGGUCUAAUACCGGAUAUGACCUUCCAUCGCAUGGUGGUUGGUGGAAAGCUUUUGUGGUUUUGGAUGGACUCGCGGCCUAUCAGCUUGUUGGUGAGGUAAUGGCUUACCAAGGCGACGACGGGUAGCCGGCCUGAGAGGGUGACCGGCCACACUGGGACUGAGACACGGCCCAGACUCCUACGGGAGGCAGCAGUGGGGAAUAUUGCACAAUGGGCGCAAGCCUGAUGCAGCGACGCCGCGUGAGGGAUGACGGCCUUCGGGUUGUAAACCUCUUUCAGUAGGGAAGAAGCGAAAGUGACGGUACCUGCAGAAGAAGCGCCGGCUAACUACGUGCCAGCAGCCGCGGUAAUACGUAGGGCGCAAGCGUUAUCCGGAAUUAUUGGGCGUAAAGAGCUCGUAGGCGGUUUGUCGCGUCUGCCGUGAAAGUCCGGGGCUCAACUCCGGAUCUGCGGUGGGUACGGGCAGACUAGAGUGAUGUAGGGGAGACUGGAAUUCCUGGUGUAGCGGUGAAAUGCGCAGAUAUCAGGAGGAACACCGAUGGCGAAGGCAGGUCUCUGGGCAUUAACUGACGCUGAGGAGCGAAAGCAUGGGGAGCGAACAGGAUUAGAUACCCUGGUAGUCCAUGCCGUAAACGUUGGGCACUAGGUGUGGGGGACAUUCCACGUUUUCCGCGCCGUAGCUAACGCAUUAAGUGCCCCGCCUGGGGAGUACGG